GAGUUUGAUCUUGGCUCAGAGCGAACGCUGGCGGCGUGCUUAACACAUGCAAGUCGAACGAGGUUUGUAGCAAUACAAAUACUCGUGGCGAACGGGUGCGUAACACGUGGAUAACCUUCCUUCAGGUGGGGAAUAACCCAGUGAAAAUUGGGCUAAUACCGCAUAACAUCGCGAUGGCACAUGCUGUUGCGUUCAAAGCCGCAAGGCGCCAGUAGGAGGGAUCCGCGGCCGAUUAGCUUGUUGGCGAGGUAAUGGCUCACCAAGGCUUUGAUCGGUAUCCGGACUGAGAGGUUGGCCGGACACACUGGAACUGAGACACGGUCCAGACUCCUACGGGAGGCAGCAGUGGGGAAUCUUGCACAAUGGACGAAAGUCUGAUGCAGCAACGCCGCGUGGGGGAUGAAGCUUCUCGGAGUGUAAACCCCUUUCGACCUGGACGAAUGCCCGCAAGGGUUUGACGGUACAGGUAUAAGAAGCCCCGGCUAACUACGUGCCAGCCGCCGCUGUAAU
rnacentral:rRNA from 1 species